rnacentral:rRNA from 1 species
UACAGAGGUCUCAAGCGUUGUUCGGAUUCAUUGGGCGUAAAGGGCGCGUAGGCUGCGGGGCAAGUCGGGUGUGAAAUCUCAGAGCUCAACUCUGAAACUGCACUCGAUACUGCUUUGCUUGAGGACUGGAGAGGAGAUUGGAAUUCACGGUGUAGCAGUGAAAUGCGUAGAUAUCGUGAGGAAGACCAGUGGCGAAGGCGGAUCUCCGGACAGUUCCUGACGCUGAGGCGCGAAGGCCAGGGGAGCAAACGGGG